rnacentral:tRNA from 1 species
UCCCAGGUGGCUUAGAUGGUAAAGAAUCUGCCUGUAAUACAGGGGGACCCAGGUUCAAUCCCUGGGUAGGGAA